rnacentral:ncRNA from 1 species
CCUCCCGCUUUUUCCUCCCUGAGCGGGGCCUGCUGGAUGCUCCACGCAUUCAGGGGCUUCUCAGCCCGGCCUUUGUGCCGGGCUUUUUUUU